rnacentral:rRNA from 1 species
CGACACACUAUCGUUAACUGAAUACAUAGGUUAACGAGGCGAACCGGGGGAACUGAAACAUCUAAGUACCCCGAGGAAAAGAAAUCAACCGAGAUUCCCCCAGUAGCGGCGAGCGAACGGGGAGCAGCCCGGAGUCUGAAUCAGCUUGUGUGUUAGUGGAACGGUCUGGAAAGUCCGACGGUACAGGGUGAUAGUCCCGUACACGAAAAUGCACAGGUUGUGAACUCGAAGAGUAGGGCGGGACACGUGGUAUCCUGUCUGAAUAUGGGGGGACCAUCCUCCAAGGCUAAAUACUCCUGACUGACCGAUAGUGAACCAGUACCGUGAGGGAAAGGCGAAAAGAACCCCGGCGAGGGGAGUGAAAAAGAACCUGAAACCGUGUACGUACAAGCAGUGGGAGCACCUUCGGGUGUGACUGCGUACCUUUUGUAUAAUGGGUCAGCGACUUAUAUUCUGUAGCAAGGUUAACCGUAUAGGGGAGCCGAAGGGAAACCGAGUCUUAACUGGGCGUUAAGUUGCAGGGUAUAGACCCGAAACCCGGUGAUCUAGCCAUGGGCAGGUUGAAGGUUGGGUAACACUAACUGGAGGACCGAACCGACUAAUGUUGAAAAAUUAGCGGAUGACCUGUGGCUGGGGGUGAAAGGCCAAUCAAACCGGGAGAUAGCUGGUUCUCCCCGAAAGCUAUUUAGGUAGCGCCUCGUGAACUCAUCUUCGGGGGUAGAGCACUGUUUCGGCUAGGGGGCCAUCCCGGCUUACCAACCCGAUGCAAACUACGAAUACCGAAGAAUGUUAUCACGGGAGACACACGGCGGGUGCUAACGUCCGUCGUGAAGAGGGAAACAACCCAGACCGCCAGCUAAGGUCCCAAAGUCAUGGUUAAGUGGGAAACGAUGUGGGAAGGCACAGACAGCCAGGAUGUUGGCUUAGAAGCAGCCAUCAUUUAAAGAAAGCGUAAUAGCUCACUGGUCGAGUCGGCCUGCGCGGAAGAUGUAACGGGGCUAAACCAUGCACCGAAGCUGCGGCAGCGACACUAUGUGUUGUUGGGUAGGGGAGCGUUCUGUAAGCCGUUGAAGGUGUGCUGUGAGGCAUGCUGGAGGUAUCAGAAGUGCGAAUGCUGACAUAAGUAACGAUAAAGCGGGUGAAAAGCCCGCUCGCCGGAAGACCAAGGGUUCCUGUCCAACGUUAAUCGGGGCAGGGUGAGUCGACCCCUAAGGCGAGGCCGAAAGGCGUAGUCGAUGGGAAACAGGUUAAUAUUCCUGUACUUGGUGUUACUGCGAAGGGGGGACGGAGAAGGCUAUGUCAGCCGGGCGACGGUUGUCCCGGUUUAAGCAUGUAGGCGGAGGUUCCAGGUAAAUCCGGUACCUUUUAACGCUGAGGUGUGAUGACGAGGCACUACGGUGCUGAAGUGAUAAAUGCCCUGCUUCCAGGAAAAGCCUCUAAGCAUCAGGUAACACGAAAUCGUACCCCAAACCGACACAGGUGGUCAGGUAGAGAAUACCAAGGCGCUUGAGAGAACUCGGGUGAAGGAACUAGGCAAAAUGGUGCCGUAACUUCGGGAGAAGGCACGCUGAUAUGUAGGUGAAGCCCCUGCGGGCGGAGCUGAAAUCAGUCGAAGAUACCAGCUGGCUGCAACUGUUUAUUAAAAACACAGCACUGUGCAAACACGAAAGUGGACGUAUACGGUGUGACGCCUGCCCGGUGCCGGAAGGUUAAUUGAUGGGGUUAGCGGCAACGCGAAGCUCUUGAUCGAAGCCCCGGUAAACGGCGGCCGUAACUAUAACGGUCCUAAGGUAGCGAAAUUCCUUGUCGGGUAAGUUCCGACCUGCACGAAUGGCGUAAUGAUGGCCAGGCUGUCUCCACCCGAGACUCAGUGAAAUUGAACUCGCUGUGAAGAUGCAGUGUACCCGCGGCAAGACGGAAAGACCCCGUGAACCUUUACUAUAGCUUGACACUGAACACUGGUCCUUGAUGUGUAGGAUAGGUGGGAGGCUUUGAAGCGUGGACGCCAGUCUGCGUGGAGCCGCCCUUGAAAUACCACCCUUUAAUGGCUGGUGUUCUAACGUAGACCCGUGAUCCGGGUUGCGGACAGUGUCUGGUGGGUAGUUUGACUGGGGCGGUCUCCUCCCAAAGAGUAACGGAGGAGCACGAAGGUUGGCUAAUCCUGGUCGGACAUCAGGAGGUUAGUGCAAUGGCAUAAGCCAGCUUGACUGCGAGCGUGACGGCGCGAGCAGGUGCGAAAGCAGGUCAUAGUGAUCCGGUGGUUCUGAAUGGAAGGGCCAUCGCUCAACGGAUAAAAGGUACUCCGGGGAUAACAGGCUGAUACCGCCCAAGAGUUCAUAUCGACGGCGGUGUUUGGCACCUCGAUGUCGGCUCAUCACAUCCUGGGGCUGAAGUAGGUCCCAAGGGUAUGGCUGUUCGCCAUUUAAAGUGGUACGCGAGCUGGGUUUAGAACGUCGUGAGACAGUUCGGUCCCUAUCUGCCGUGGGCGCUGGAGAAUUGAGGGGGGCUGCUCCUAGUACGAGAGGACCGGAGUGGACGCAUCACUGGUGUUCGGGUUGUCAUGCCAAUGGCACUGCCCGGUAGCUAAAUGCGGAAGAGAUAAGUGCUGAAAGCAUCUAAGCACGAAACUUGCCCCGAGAUGAGUUCUCCCUGAGAC